rnacentral:rRNA from 1 species
GGAUGCUCCGGUUGGAUGCAUGUCCUUCCGGGAAAGAUUCUAUCGGUAUGGGAUGGGGUCGCGUCCUAUCAGCUUGAUGGCGGGGUAACGGCCCACCAUGGCUUCGACGGGUAGCCGGCCUGAGAGGGCGACCGGCCACAUUGGGACUGAGAUACGGCCCAGACUCCUACGGGAGGCAGCAGUGGGGAAUAUUGCACAAUGGGCGCAAGCCUGAUGCAGCGACGCCGCGUGCGGGAUGGAGGCCUUCGGGUUGUAAACCGCUUUUGAUCGGGAGCAAGCCCUUCGGGGUGAGUGUACCUUUCGAAUAAGCACCGGCUAACUACGUGCCAGCAGCCGCGGUAAUACGUAGGGUGCAAGCGUUAUCCGGAAUUAUUGGGCGUAAAGGGCUCGUAGGCGGUUCGUCGCGUCCGGUGUGAAAGCCCAUCGCUUAACGGUGGGUCUGCGCCGGGUACGG